GUCGGGAUAGCUCAGC
rnacentral:tRNA from 114 species